rnacentral:rRNA from 1 species
GAUGAACGCUGGCGGCGUGCCUAACACAUGCAAGUCGAGCGGACAGACGCGGCUUUUGCUCGUCUGACGUUUGGGGCGGACGGGUGAGUAACAUGAGUAUACCUUACUUUUCAGACUGAGAUCAUUACGGGAAUCCGGAGAUAACACCGGAUAAUAUAUUGAACCGUGUGGUUCAUUGGAGAAAGUCGGCUUUGCUGUCACUACUCGAUGGUUACGAGCUGCAUUGGCUAGUUGGUAAGGUAACGGCCUACCAAGGCUAGGAUGCGUAGGCGAACUGCGAGGGUGGUCGGCCACCCUGGAACUGAGACGCGGUCCAGACUCCUACGGGAGGCAGCAGAAGGGAAGCGUCGGCAAUGGGCGAAAGCCUGACGCAGCAAGGCCGCGUGUGUUAUGAAGGUCUUCGGAGCGUAAAGCUCUGUUAUGAGGGAAGAACAGAUGUCUAAGUAACCAUAGACGUAUUGACGGUACCUAAUCAAAAAGCCACGGCUAACUACGUG